rnacentral:tRNA from 1 species
AUAAAAGUGGCAGAUUAGUGCAUUAGACUUAGGAUCUAAUUAUGUAGAUUUUCACCUCUUCCUUUUAUA